UACGGGGGGAGCAAGCGUUGUUCGGAUUUACUGGGCGUAAAGGGCGCGUAGGCGGUCAGCACAAGUCACUUGUGAAAUCUCCGGGCUUAACUCGGAACGGCCAAGUGAUACUGUCAAGCUAGAGUGCAGAAAGGGCAAUCGGAAUUCUUGGUGUAGCGGUGAAAUGCGCAGAUAUCAGGAGGAACACCGAUGGCGAAGGCAGGUCUCUGGGCCAUAACUGACGCUGAGAAGCGAAAGCAUGGGGAGCGAACAGG
rnacentral:rRNA from 1 species